UACAGAGGGUGCGAGCGUUGUCCGGAAUUACUGGGCGUAAAGAGCUCGUAGGUGGUUUGUCGCGUUGUUCGUGAAAACUCACAGCUUAACUGUGGGCGUGCGGGCGAUACGGGCGAACUGGAGUACUGCAGGGGAGACUGGAAUUCCUGGUGUAGCGGUGGAAAUGCGCAGAUAUCAGGAGGAACACCGGUGGCGAAGGCGGGUCUCUGGGCAGUAACUGACGCUGAGGAGCGAAAGCGUGGGGAGCGAACAGG
rnacentral:rRNA from 1 species